rnacentral:lncRNA from 1 species
AAAGAAGAAAGUAUUUGGCGAAGUCGCCUGCUUGAAAGUAAGUACGAGGAAAUAGUAGUUUGUUGUAUUGAGUUGUUGAUGAUUACAGAUCUACAAAAGUGGCUAUUUAUAGCCCCGUACAGACGACUUCUUAUCUGACUAGAACUCUAUCCCUAAUUCAAAUGGAAAACGAAUAUUUACAAGUACGACUCGUACUAGGUCGAUUAUUAUAUGCUUCAUGGGCUGAUUCCCUCUUCAUCUUUAUAAUCCUUUCCAAGCCCAUACCGGCCCAAUUAUUCCAACCUCCCAAUCGGCCAAUUUCCUUAUCGGCAAGGGGUAACCGAUCGGGAACCGAGCGCGUCCGAUCCAAGCCCCAAGGGUCAAGUGAGGCAGAAUUCUAAAGAUCUAUCGGUCGAUCCUGGACUGUAGCAUCGGCCGAUCCUGGACUGUAGCACCAACCAACCGAUCUUUAACUGUAGCACCACUCGACCGAUUUCCAACUGUCACCCCUGUAUCCUGCUGCAUCUUCCCAUUUCUUCUUCUCCUGAUGCCGAUUUUACUCGUGUCGAAAUCUGGCGUCAACACAUGCCCCCCAGUUUCGGAGUAAAACAUAGUCUUUACUUCGAAAUUCUUUUCAACUUCCCCUCCGAAACAACCGCAAUGAAAAUAUCCUUCCGUUUUGCGGUCUUCAACCUGAUGAUUGCAAUCUUUUCGAAACGGGCGCCCACGACAACCACUACUCCCGAAAAACUCAAAACGCCGGCGCGGUAAAAAUUCCAUUUUUACCCUUCCUCAGACCCCCUUUAAAUAUCAGCACAUCCCACACUUCCCUUUCGAGCUCACGUCCUUCUUCCUCAGCGCGCGAGCCUUCUUCUUCCUCCAGCACUUUUCCUUAGUUCCACAGCUUUCCGGCACCGUCUUCCAGUCGCUUUUCUCCCUACCCUCCAAUGGCGGCACCUUCAGGCAACUCACCCACGCGCGAUGCUCCAGAAAUAGCGCCUCCGGCGGAAGUAGCGACAGUGGUGGCUCCGUCGUUGGAAGAAAGAGCUCCAUUAGCGAAAGCCGAAGCUUCUUCCGAGAUCCCAAUGGCAAUCCCAAUAGCGGCCUCAUCCUUCGCAGCUGCACCGGCGGUCACGCCGACUACAAGGAACUUCAUCCCAGAGGUCAUUACCGAAUCUUUCCUCUAUCGGCAAUACAUUUACUUUAGAUCUAUUUCUUACUUUCGCUCCCCCUUUUCCCUUUUUUAGGCGGUUAGGCAUCGCAUCACCAUUCAUCUUACGGGAAAUCCCGGCCUUGUUUGCCUUGGACCCAUGGGAAACCCAGAUCCAACGGAGCUAAUCAAUUUGGAAACCCAUAGGAUCCCCUUCAAACAAUCAACUAUGGACCUAGAUCACUGGUUGGGCACCUUUAGGUCUUGGCCGAAUGAAACCCCCGGUUGGAGGGAAUGGUACCAACGGAUAGCCGCAUCCAAGAGGGUCCAAUGGGACGAGCUCAAAAUCGGCCAAUGCAUCAAUCUAUCCCUAUCCCAAAUGGAGCGGAAUGAACCUUUAGUGUUGGGAGCUUCUUACUUUUGGUCUGAUGCUCUUAAUGCAUUCUUGUUCGGACACGGACCCAUGACCCCCACACUGGCCGAUGUGGUUUUGCUAACCGGUCUGGACAUUUCCUCCCCGGACAUCCCUUUCCACCUUUUAGCCGCAACAUCACAUCGGCUGGACACAAGGGGAAUCGGCGAAUGGAAAGGCUUCAUUAGAUGUAACAAAAGGGCCGGAUCUGUUGAGAACAGGGAGCACACGACCUUCCUAAUGAUGUGGUUGGAGAAACACUUCUUUUGCGGGAGAGCAGCUGGCCCAUCAACCAACACCCAAGCCUUAGCCGAAGCAUUAUCAGUAGGGACUCCUGUUCCUCUUGGAAAACACUUGCUAGGAGCGGCAUACCAUAUGCUUCACCAAAUCGGCAUCAAACUUUCCAAAGGGGAGCCGAUUGGAAAUCCAGGUGGACCCUAGUGGUUCAUUAACUUGUGGCUGAACCUGUAUAUGAGCAAGAUUUCUCAGCAGAGGGUGGAACACAUGACGUUCCCCAGCAUCGAAUCGGCAGAGGAUCCCACUGCCCGACGCCGAUGCACAUCUUUCGGCGAAGCGGCGUCGGCCUUCCCCGGUUGUCUGUACUCUGCUACCAAAGUGGCCGAGUACUUCCGAUGCUUUUAUAACGGUUUUAAUGAAGAUGCAACCGUCUGGUUUCCUUAUCGGUGAGAUGACCCAAUCUUCGAGCUCCCAUCUUGCUUUGACUCGACUACUGGCCGAUUCGACGAAGACCUCACAGACGAGUUAAUUAAACCGGGAAUCCUGCCAGCCAACUUCUUCUCAGGGAAAGAUGCUCCUACGUAUGAGUUUUACAAUCCCUCUGCUGCAGCACGUCAAUUCGGCAUGGGUCAGCUGCCGAUUCAAGUGUACUUCGCUGGCCGAGCUAAGUUCAGAGAUGAGCUUACAACAGGUCUGGACUAUAGUCGGCUACGAGACCGGGUCCCAGACUCCAACACUAUUGACCUGAAUGACAGGAUAGUAGCUCCCUUCGCCAUCCAACCAUUCAAGCUUUGGUGGGCUCAAUGGAAACAAUACCUUUUCUGCAACUCCGCGUCGACAUACUGCAAUCUCCUGGAUCCGACCAACAUCGACCCGAACACCGAGGUAUUUUUCCUUAGCCGAUUUUUACUCUUCUAUCAACGCGGUUGAAUACAUAUACUAACAUCUUGCUAUUGCUUCAGUCUGAGAACCGUGUCCCCCCAACACGGAGCCGGAGUGGCCGACCAAUAGAAGAUCAUCAUCCAUACACCACCUUCCCUCUUAUCGGCUACGAUGCCCCUUCCUUGGAUGUGAUUGCUGGCCGAUCGAAGCAGGCGCAGAAGAAAGUUACUAAGAAGACCAGCCGUCGAGUUCGAGCCCGUAUAGAAUCGGCGGAUCCUCCCACGAUCGUGUCGGCAGAAACUUCAGCCGCACCGCCUCUUCAAGCUGCCAGAGAGAUAGAUACUCAUGUUGUCGCGCAAACUGGGGCAGCCACUGCAUCACUACUGGUAGAAGCCGUGCAGGUAAACUUAUGUUUGAUCCUUCCGAUUGUUGUCUCAAUACUAACUCCUCUUAUCUUAGACUGCACAGAUCACUCCUAUGGACCCACAACAAUCGGUAGCAGCCCAAUCGGUCACCGACGCGCCCCCGUUUCCAUCCGUCGAGGUAUAACAUUCUUCCACCGAUUCCUCUAGUAUUUGAAUGACGUUCUCAUUCAACCCUUUGACACAGGUCAUCGGUACGCUAAGCGCCCCUCUUGAUCAACCAAUGGUCCCCUCCCGGGAAGCUGGUCCCAGCACAGCACCAAUCAUCGUAGAGUCUUCUUCUUCUGAUGAACCAAUGGUACCAGCCCCUGAACCGAGGAUAACGGCUCCCCAAAUGUAGCUUGAGGAAAUCCGAUUCAAGGAGGUAAGAGACCUUUCACCUUUACUUAGCCGAUUUGCUAUAACCAUCGGCUGAUUUGUUUUUUCUUCUUGACUUAUUAUUUCCAGGAACAGGACACUCCUGACAACAGUCUCUUCUCAUUUGCGAUCGCCCUCUCUGAUGACGAAGAAGUCGCCUCCUGCCAAGUCACUCUGAGCUCCAUCCCUGACGAUGUCCGAGCCAAACUUACCAGCAUCCGAUCCCUUCUUCAAGAAGACAUCGGCCGAUUGGUAGAAGACGCCUCGCCGAUUCGGCAGCUCUUCGGUGACGUCAGCAGACGGGUGCCAGAAGAGGCGGAGGAAGCCUUAGCGCCGGCCGCGUAUAUCGAGUCGAUGAGGAUCCCAGUUUUCAGGGCCCUGCGUCACAUGGCCGAUCGCGCCAAGCUGGCAAAGACUUCCUGGAUACGUACAAGCGUCAGGCCCAAGAGGUGCAUCAACGCAUUCACUUCCUGGAAGACUCUCGCCCAGGAAUCGUCGGCACGAUAGAUCGCCUCAAACGCCGAAGAGCAGAGCUUGCCAAAGAGAUGGAACAGGUGACAAAAGCCAUAAAUGCCGAAGAGAAGAGGCUUCAAGAACUCCCAUCCGUCAUCACCGAUCUGAAACAGGAGAGGCAGCAUCUGGCCCACGAAGCCCUUAAACUCCACUGCAAUAUGCCAGAAGUCCCUGGAUCGGCAGAUGAUGAUCAGUGGGUACUAGACUCUGCCGAUCAGAUCCGGCGCCGAGCGAUAUCGGCUAUCGAUGCCCUUCUGGGUAGCCUGUAAAAGUACUGGCUAUUUUUGUAUGAACAUUUAAUGACCCCUUUGACCGCCCUUCAUGGCGCCUUUUAUUUAUUGCCUUUCUCACUUCCGACGGGACGCGCCUUACCAAAUAUCUACGCCUCCUUUUCUUAUAAAUGCCGGCCUAGACCCCCUUCCCGAGAGUACCAGUUUAGCUCGGCUUCACCUUCCCAACCUGCUUUCGUCGGCGUUAUUUUCAGUCAUGUCUUCUUCAUCCUCUUCCUCUUCCUCUGUUAACCAGGUGAAAAUUUUGCCUUGAUCCUUCUUCUCAGUUUAGCUCUUUUGAAGGGAAUCACCUUUUUAAUCGUUCUUUUCUUCAGCCACGGCGCCUUAGCCCCGAACUCAUCCGCGCCAUCGAGCUCAUGCACUCUGAUGAACCGUUGUCGUCAGAGGACAAGGACUUAAUCAGGGCUCAUCAUGACGAACUUCAAGAACAUGUCCCUGCUGACAUCCGACGGAUCUGGGAUUUUUUGGAUGGCAACGCCCGCCGGCGACCUCAAGCUGACAGAAGUCAUCCGCUUCCUCCACGAGUCACCCUUGAAGAUGCGGCAAUAGGGACAUCGCGCCUGGCCAUGGACCAGAGUCACCCUCUCCCCCGUCAAGUCGAAGCGGAGGCUUCGAUGAAAGAGAUAGAAGAAGAGUACAUCCGUCUUAUGAUAGAAUUAGGUCGGGCUGAGAGAGAGCGUAAGAAAAGACGUGGUUAAUUAUUUUUUGUUCUAAGGGCGACUUGUACCUUGUCGGCCGUGUAACUCACCGUCCGUACCGAAUGAAUACAUUGGCCGAUUACAUGUUUUCUCUAGACGAACCUUUUUGUAUCGGCUGUGUGCUGUUUAUUGUGGUUGAUUCUUUAUGCUCCGACCCAUAUACUAGGGUAGUAUCUCUUCAAGUACCUUCCGUUCAGAGCCCUAGUAAACUCUUCUCCUUCGAUUGUUUCCAAAAUAUAAGCGUUUCCUGGAGCACAUCUGCCGAUUUUAUAUGGCCCUUCCCAUGUAGGGGACCACUUUCCGAAUUUAGGAUCUUUCGACCCAAUCGGCAACACUAACUUCCAAACCAGGUCCCCUGGAGAGAAUUGUUUGACUUUGACCUUCUUAUCAUACCACCUGGCCACUUUCUUCUUGUUUUCCUCAAUGCUUAUCAAAGCUCUCAAUCGUUGGCCAGCCAAGUCAUCAAGUUCCCUUUUCAUGAGUGAUGAGUAGUCAUCGGCCGUUAACUGGUCCUGGAGCGAAAUGCGCCUCGACCCCGCCCUUGAUUCCCACGGUAGUACUGCAUCGUGACCGUACACCAACUGAUAAGGGGAUAACUUGGUGGCUCCAUGGCAAGCCAUCCUGUAUGCCCAUAGGGCUUCAGUUAGACAUAGAUGCCAUUUUUUCGGCUACUCCUCUAUCUUCCUCUUGAUUAACUUAAUUAUCCCCUUAUUGGAGGAUUCGGCCUGGCCGUUAGCUUGGGCAUAAUAUGGAGAGGAGUUUAACAAUUUGAUUCCCAUAUCGGCUGUGAACCCUUUGAAUUCUCCUGAUGUGAACAUUGUUCCCUGAUCGGUUGUGAUAGUCUGGGGAAUGCCGAAUCAGUAGACGAUAUGGUCCCUUAUGAAGUCGACCAUGGUAGCCGAUGUCGCAGCUCUUAACGGAAUUGCUUCCACCCAUUUGGUAAAGUAAUCGGUGGCCACCAGAAUAAAUUUGUGCCCUUUGCUUGAUGGAGGAUGAAUUUGGCCGAUAAGGUCUAUUCCCCAUCCUCUGAACGGCCAUGGCUUGAUAAUGGGAUUCAUGGCCGACGUGGGCGCACGUUGGACAUUCCCGAAUUUCUGACAAUCCUGGCAUCCCUUAUAAUAUUUGAAGCAAUCUUCGAGGAUCGUUGGCCAGUAAUACCCAUUAUUCCUGAUCAUCCAUUUCAUCUUAUGGGCUGACUGGUGGGCUCCACACACCCCCUCAUGGAUUUCUCCUAUCAGAGUCUUAGCCUCUUCUGUUCCCAGACACUUGAGUAGGACGCCAUCGAUUGUUCGGUAGAAAAAGUCGUCUUCCAGCAGUACGUAUUUGGUAGCAUGGAAACGCACCCGCCGAUCCACUUUCUUAGAUGGAUCUUUUAGGUAGUCGGCAAUUUCUUUUCGCCAGUCAUCGGCCACGAGUUCCAGAGCCAUAGCGCCUAGAAUUGGCCGAUAUCCAGAUGCGUGCUGGGCGAGUUUGUUGGUAUCCUCGUUGUGAUUCCUUGGGAUGUGUUCGAUUACUACCGAUUUGAAUUCUUUUAAGAGCUACAGGCAAUCUUCGUAAUGAAUUCUCAACACAUCAUCCUUGCAUUCGGACUUCCCUGUUAAUUGGUCCACAAUAUGCAUGGAAUCUCCAAAAAUUUCAACAGAAUCGGCCUUGACUUCUCUUAGUAACUGUAAACCCUUCAAUACAGCUCGGUACUUCGCUUGAUUGUUAGUGGCGGUCGCUUCUAUCGGCAGAGAAAAAUCAUAACUUGCCCCCCGAGGCGAUAUGAGGACGAUGCCGAUUCCUGAUCCGACCACACAUGACGAUCCAUCAAAGUAUAAAGUCCAAGGUACCAGCUCCACGAAGGUAGUCUCUGGUCCGCAGUGUUGGGCAACGAAAUCGGCCAUGACCUGUCCCUUGACGGCUUUCGCCAAUUCAUACCGAAGGUCAAACUCUGACAAAGCUAAGAUCCAUUUGCCGAUUCGUCCUUUCAAGAUCGGCAGUGAUAGCAUGUAUUUUACCACGUCGUCUUUGCAUACGACCACACAUUCCGCCGACAACAAAUAGUGCCUGAGUUUGGUGCAUGAGAAGUAAAGGCAUAGGCACAACCGCUCCACUGGAGGAUACCUUGUUUCGGCGUCCAGAAGUCUUCUACUGACAUAAUAAAUUACUCGUUCCUUUCCUUCGAACUCCUGCACUAGAGCCGACCCAAUAGCCUUUUCAUCAGCUGAUAAAUAUAAUUUAAAUGACUUACCAGUUUGAGGAGGGACCAAUACUGGUGGUGAGACCAAGUACUGCUUGAUAUCUUCCAGUGCCUUGCGUUGUUCUUCCCCCCAUAUAAACUCCUGGUCGGGCUUCAACUUUAAUAAUGGUGUGAAGGCUUGGAUUCACCCAGACAGAUUAGAUAUGAAUCUUCUAAUGAAAUUCACCUUGCCGAUUAAAGACCGCAAUUCAGUUUUAUUCUGCGGGGCCACGACUUUGUUGAUAGCCGCUAUGGUCUUCCGAUUGAUUUCUAUUCCCCGCUCAUGCACCAUGAAUCCUAAGAACUGUCCGGCGGACACGCCGAAGGCACAUUUAUUCGGGUUCAUCUUCAGCCCAUGUUUUUUAGUGCAUUCCAGCACUUUUCGCAAAUCGGCUAGAUGCUCUUCGUGUCCUUUGGACUUGACUACGACGUCGUCAAUGUAGAUUUCCACCAGUAUGCCGAUGAGUUUGUGAAAUAUGUAGUUCAUGACUCUCUGAUAUGUGGUGCCGGCGUUUUUCAAGCCAAAAGUCAUCACCACCCACUCGAAUAAACCAAGGUGGCCUGGGCAUCUGAAGGCCGUUUUGGGUAUGUCCUCCUCGGCCAUAAGUAUUUGAUUGUACCCAGUGUUUCCGUCCAUGAAGCUAAUAAUCUUGUGUCCCGCGGCAGCGUCUAUCAGCACAUUGGCCGUUGGCAUGGGGUAUCCGUCCAUCGGUGUGGCCUGAUUAAGAUUCCUGAAAUCAACGCACACGCGUAGCUUUCCGUUCUUCUUGUAUACUGGUACAAUGUUGGAGAUCCACUCGGCAUAACGGCAUUGCCGAAUAAAUUUUGCUUCGAUUAGCCAAGUUAUUUCGGCUUUUAUGUCUGGUAGAAUUUUAGGAUUGCACCGCCGCGCAUGCUGUUGAUACGGCCGAUAUCCUGGUUUUAUGGGUAGCCGAUGUUCAACAAUAGAUCGAUCUAAUCCGGGCAUCUCAUGAUACUCCCAAGGAAAACAAUCCUUAAAUUCUCUUAACAAAUUUGUCAGUUUACAUUUGUAUUCUGGGUCUAAAUUUGCCCUAAUAUAAGUCGGCCUUGGUUUGGUGCCAUCACCUAAGUCUAUCAUCUCUAAUGAAUCGGCCAACGUGAACCCGUGCCCUAGCUUCCCAUCUUCUCGGGCGAACUGAUCCAUUUAAUCUAAGUCUUCGGAGCCGACUGCUCGGAUCGGCUGUAGGCCAAAAUUGGACACCUUGAAGAAGUCAGUAUCCCAUACUCUACCGGAUAUGCACUUGACAGUUUCGCAGCUCCACUGCUGCAUGUCGGCUGCCGCGAUGCUGUAUGCGGAGUUGGCGUUGACCACCUCGAUGUUGUCGCCGACCCAUUGUACAAGACAUUGAUGCAUUGUCGAUGGGAUGCAGCAAUUUGCAUGUAUCCAGUCUCGGCCGAGUAGCAUGUUGUAGGAUCCCUUGCCAUUAAUAAUAAAGAAAGUGGUAGGAAGGGUCUUACUGCCGAUGGUGAGGUCUACGCAAAGGGCGUCGCGAGCGGGGGAUACAUUGCCCUCGAAGUCCUUGAGCAUCAUGUCUGUCUUGGUCAAGUCAUCAUCGCUUUUCCCAAGCUUCUGAAGCACGGCAUAUGGCAUGAUGUUGACUGCAGCUCCUCCGUCUACCAUUAAUCUGGUGAGGGGUCGGCCAUUGACAUGUCCCUUAAGGAACAACGCUUUCAGGUGUUGCCGUUUGUCGUCUUCAGGCUUCUCGAAUGUGUCUGUCAUUGGCUCCAAAGCCAAUUGUGCCAUCUGUUCUUCUAUCGCCGAUAUAUCCUGUCGGUCGUCAGGAGUCAUAAAUUCCAUCGGCAGUAUGAAAACCAUGCCGAUGUCGGCUGCCGAUUCAUCGCCCGCCGAUUCGUCGCCUCCUCUGUCGUUUCUUUUGGGGCGCCAUACCUGAGACCUGCCUUCCCUCUUGUCUGUCGUGUACUGUUGUUCUUCCUCCUGCUGUUCCCACUGGCGGAGACAUUGGAUCCUUCGUUUUUGAGAUUUGGUGAAUCCGUCGGGACACCACCUGGGGUUCACUGGUUUGGUUCGUGGCCUGGCGUGUUCCCAUUCCGGUUUGCGUCCUAAAGGGUUUUCGUCUGUCACUCGAGCAUCGGCCAUCUCUUCAAGCCGACUCUGGACGCUGGCCCUGUUUUUUGGCCGGUCAUGUCGAUCAAACCUGCCCCCCGCCCUAUCAUGGCGUCUGUCUUCCGACCGGUCAUAUCGGUCACUUCUGCCCCCCAGCCGAUCACGCACGGGAGGGCGCCGGUCAUCUUGGUCACGCCAGUUCUUUUUGAUCGGCUCUGGUCUCCCGUCUCUGGAGCGAGACCUGUUGAACGGCCGAUUGUUACGAUAUGGGCCGUUGCACUCUGGGCAAUUAUCGGCCGACGGUAACCUGAGGUUGCUUUCCCAACAGUGGAUGAAGAACGGGCAUCUCCAGUGAUCUUCAUGUCGCCGCAUCGCUUCUUCCCGGGAUCUUGAGCGCUCAUGUUGCCGCUGAUAUUUGUGGAGCAGGAAUUAGGAAGUGAUGCGUGGCUCACCAGAUCCGCCGUCGUCGUCUUCCAUCCGCCGCUUCCCCUUGAUGUCUUCAGGUGCUGCUUGAUUUCUGGGAUCUACAGCACCACUCUUUUUAGCCGAUUCGGACGUUAGCACCUUUGUUUGGAGCGGAUUCUUUCCUGUGUCAACCAUGUUGGUGGGGAAGGGGUGCUGAUCGAUCUUCAUCGGCUUGGCUGGUUUUGUUGGCACUUCAAAUUUAAGUCUGCCCUGCUCAAUAGCCGUUUGUAUCUGUUGCCGGAAGAUUUUGCACUCGUUAGUGUCAUGGGAGGUAGCGUUGUGCCAUUUGCAAUAUUUCAUCUUCUUCAGCUGUUCGGCGGAAGGGAUCGUAUGGUAUGGCGAGAGCUUAAUCUGUCCCUCCUGGAGUAGGAGGUCAAAGAUUUUAUCGGCCUUCGACGUGUCAAAGCCGAACGUUUCUUGCUCCUUCUUGCCGAACGGGCAUGAUAUCGGCUUCUUUCCCUUAACCCAUUCCGCAAGACCGACCUCUGCAUCUUCUUCGGCUUCAACCUCUUCUAAGUAUGCCACCUUCUUCUGGAAGUUCCUCCGUGGAUCGAAAGAACGUACCUCCUGUCCAGACAAUCGGUGGACGAUUUGGCUUAAGCUCUCAAACUCCUGUGAGGCGUAUUUUUCUUUGAUGUGAGGCAGGAGACCUUGAAAGGCUAUAUCAGCUAGCUGUGCGUCGUUUAGAGCCAAAGAAUAGCAUUUGUUCCUGAUUUCCCGAAACCUCUGUACAUAUGAGGAUAUCGGCUCGUCGCUUCUCUGCUUGAGGCUGGUCAAAUCGGACAGCUUCAUCUCAUGCACCCCGGCGUAGAAGUAUUUAUGAAACCACCUCUCCAAAUUGGCCCAUGUAAUAAUCGAGUUGGGCGGUAAUGUCGUGAACCACUUGAAGGCCGACCCAGACAAGGAUGACGAGAAUAGCCGCACCCGUAGAGCGUCUUGCGCCGCUGCCUCUCCGCAUUGGAUGAUGAAUCUGUUCACGUGUUUCACGGUUGAAGUGUCAUCCAUCCCCGAGAACUUGGUGAAGUCAGGAACUUUAUACUGAUGGGGAAACGGCAGUAGGUCGUACGUAGACGGGUACGCUGUCCUGUAAGUGUAAGUCUGUACCUUCGGCUUCAAGCCGAAUUGUUCCUGAAUCACUUCUGCUAUACGUGCCGACCAGUCCGGCUGUUGCUGGUAAACUGUUGGUUGAGGGACUGGCACGUGCUGGUAUAUCGGCGGAGGGAUGGCUUGAUGCUGAGUGAAAGUAUGUGGCAUCUGAUAUGUUAUAGCCGGCUGUGUAUUUAGGGUCGGCUGUUUGAAUGAGCCACUCGUUUCAUCGUAUAGUACGAGCUCUGCUGCUUUGCUCAUCUCUGGUGCGACAGGCUGGUACGGCGGCACAGUUGGUCGAGUAGUUGCUUGGAAAGACGGCUGGAAUUGGGGACUUCCCUGACUGGCAGAUUGAUCCUGAACGACCGUAGCUGAUGGUGCCCCCCAAGGCGCUAGAUUAACUAGAGGGAACGACGCAGAGGACAGCUGAACGGGGUGUGGCUGGAAGUGUUGUGUGACAUUAUACCCCAUAGGAAUUGAUGAUGAGGAAGCGCCUGAACCCCCAACAGGAAAUUGGAUCGGCUGAGGAGCCGAAUUCAAAUAACCCUUUUUUGGUGGAAUCGGCGGAGCAUAUGCUGGUCCCUUGUACCCUUGAGAUACCCCGCUAGCCAAGGAGCUGAUGAUGGCAUUGUACACCGUAUUUGCAAGCACCGGGGAUUGAUCAAUGAAGGCUUGAUAAACGGACUGCUGGACCAUCUCGGACAUCUUGUUCGAGUCCUCGGUGAUUGUGAUCUGGCGGGGAGUUGGAAACGGAGACUUUUUGAUAGUAUCCCCGCUCCUGGUGCGACUGAAGGACUGCAGGCAAGCCUUCCGGUAGUAUGCAGUCUGCUUCUCUAGUUCUUCCUUCUGGUCGUCCCUGAGAUCUGCCUCUGUCACUUCGAUGACGUUAUCUUCGGAGACUUCAGCAGCUUUCGACAUGGUGGCGGUUGUAUUGGUCCCACCGAGCGUGCCAAAAGUGUGUUGGCGCUAGAAAUCGGCCAACCGAAUCCCCAGCGUCUUAACACACGACCUGGGAGAAUCUGCUUAACUCCUGUUCGGGUGAUUGUCCUGGUGCGGUUCGUGCGGCGUGCCAGCCAAUCUGACCUGUUGAUUGGCAAGGAAGAAGACGUGUCAGAUCCAGGAGUCACGAUCGGCUAAAUUUCCGAUCUCGAGAGAGCUUAUCAGCGAAUCGGCCGAUUUGCCGUAAUAAACAAAUCGGCUAUAAAGCAACCGAUUACCAGGCAGCGUGAAUGAAAACUAUUGGAGUAAUCAGCACAACGCUACAGCAGCAACACUAGGAACAGAUCUAAUCGGCUAUGCGUAGAAUAAGUAAAUUAAGUAGCAAAACAUGAGAAAAGCCGAAACUGCCGAUCCCUAGCUGGAUAACUGGUGAUAAAACUAGAAAAACAGGUAAAACCUAUGAUUCUAGUAAAUAUCGAUAACUAGUGAAUAAAUCUAAACGAAACGACAGCGAUGCGCCCGAAGUUAAAGCUUAGAAUUUACCCGGUAAACGGAACUUACAGGAUCGGCCGGAGGUCAAGUUGAUGCAGCUCCGCCAACCCGUACGAACUCGUGAAAAAGAAGAAAGUAUUUGGCGAAGUCGCUUGCUUGAAAGUAAGUAUGAGGAAAUAGUAGUUUGUUGUAUUGAGUUGUUGAUGAUUACAGAUCUACAAAAGUGGCUAUUUGUAGCCCUGUACAGAUGACUUCUUAUGUGACUUAGAACUCUAUCCCUAAUUCAAAUGGAAAAUGAAUAUUUACAAGUACGACUCGUACUAGGUCGAUUAUUAUACGCUUCAUGGGCUGAUUCCCUCUUCAUCUUUAUAAUCCUUUCCAAGCCCAUACCGGCCCAAUUAUUCCAACC